UACGAAAGGGGGCUAGCGUUGCUCGGAAUCACUGGGCGUAAAGGGCGCGUAGGCGGCCAUUCAAGUCGGGGGGUGAAAGCCUGUGGCUCACCACAGAAUUGCCUCGAUACUGUUUGGCUUGAGUUUGGUAGAGGUUGGUGGAACUGCGAGUGUAGAGGUGAAAUUCGUAGAUAUUCGCAAAGAACACCCAGUGGCGGAAGGCGGCCAACUG
rnacentral:rRNA from 1 species